AGCUUGCUACCUGACCUAGCGGCGGACGGGUGAGUAAUGCUUAGGAAUCUGCCUAUUAGUGGGGGACAACAUUCCGAAAGGAAUGCUAAUACCGCAUACGCCCUACGGGGGAAAGCAGGGGAUCUUCGGACCUUGCGCUAAUAGAUGAGCCUAAGUCAGAUUAGCUAGUUGGUGGGGUAAAGGCCUACCAAGGCGACGAUCUGUAGCGGGUCUGAGAGGAUGAUCCGCCACACUGGGACUGAGACACGGCCCAGACUCCUACGGGAGGCAGCAGUGGGGAAUAUUGGACAAUGGGCGAAAGCCUGAUCCAGCCAUGCCGCGUGUGUGAAGAAGGCCUUUUGGUUGUAAAGCACUUUAAGCGAGGAGGAGGCUACUGAGAUUAAUACUCUUGGAUAGUGGACGUUACUCGCAGAAUAAGCACCGGCUAACUCUGUGCCAGCAGCCGCGGUAAUACAGAGGGUGCGAGCGUUAAUCGGAUUCACUGGGCGUAAAGCGUGCGUAGGCGGCUUUUUAAGUCGGAUGUGAAAUCCCUGAGCUUAACUUAGGAAUUGCAUUCGAUACUGGGAAGCUAGAGUAUGGGAGAGGAUGGUAGAAUUCCAGGUGUAGCGGUGAAAUGCGUAGAGAUCUGGAGGAAUACCGAUGGCGAAGGCAGCCAUCUGGCCUAAUACUGACGCUGAGGUACGAAAGCAUGGGGAGCAAACAGGAUUAGAUACCCUGGUAGUCCAUGCCGUAAACGAUGUCUACUAGCCGUUGGGGCCUUUGAGGCUUUAGUGGCGCAGCUAACGCGAUAAGUAGACCGCCUGGGGAGUACGGUCGCAAGACUAAAACUCAAAUGAAUUGACGGGGGCCCGCACAAGCGGUGGAGCAUGUGGUUUAAUUCGAUGCAACGCGAAGAACCUUACCUGGUCUUGACAUAGUAAGAACUUUCCAGAGAUGGAUUGGUGCCUUCGGGAACUUACAUACAGGUGCUGCAUGGCUGUCGUCAGCUCGUGUCGUGAGAUGUUGGGUUAAGUCCCGCAACGAGCGCAACCCUUUUCCUUAUUUGCCAGCACUUCGGGUGGGAACUUUAAGGAUACUGCCAGUGACAAACUGGAGGAAGGCGGGGACGACGUCAAGUCAUCAUGGCCCUUACGACCAGGGCUACACACGUGCUACAAUGGUCGGUACAAAGGGUUGCUACCUAGCGAUAGGAUGCUAAUCUCAAAAAGCCGAUCGUAGUCCGGAUUGGAGUCUGCAACUCGACUCCAUGAAGUCG
rnacentral:rRNA from 1 species